rnacentral:tmRNA from 1 species
AUCAGGAGAAGCGGGUCGAGAAGGCAAGGUCAUCUCGUUAACGUCCCUUGCAAACCACAGGUGCCGAUUCCAAGCGCACCGACUUCGCCCUCGCCGCCUGAGCGAGCGCAAGUCCGUCAGCCUAGGAGUGCUUCCGACCUAGUCCCUGGCGUCAUCUAGGAGGCUCUGCUGCACCACCGCGCCGGGCGGUGGUGCGGGACUCCUGCCCGGCUGGGCCUGUCAGGGAACGUGUGCGCGCGAGCCCUGGGGCCGAGAAAAUCCAUAGUGCACUGCACCCGGAGAAGUCCUGGUCUCCCUGCGGCGGACGCGGGUUCGAUUCCCGCCACCUCCACCA